rnacentral:sRNA from 1 species
UAGUUAUUCUACUCACGGUUUUCUCCGAC